rnacentral:rRNA from 1 species
AUUGAACGCUGGCGGCAUGCCUUACACAUGCAAGUCGAACGGCAGCACGGGGCAACCUGGUGGCGAGUGGCGAACGGGUGAGUAAUGCAUCGGAACGUACCUUUCAGUGGGGGAUAACGUAGCGAAAGUUACGCUAAUACCGCAUAUUCUGUGAGCAGGAAAGCAGGGGAUCGCAAGACCUUGCGCUGAUUGAGCGGCCGAUAUCAGAUUAGGUAGUUGGUGGGGUAAAGGCUCACCAAGCCAACGAUCUGUAGCGGGUCUGAGAGGAUGAUCCGCCACACUGGGACGGGGCAACGGCCCAGACUCCUACGGGAGGCAGCAGUGGGGAAUUUUGGACAAGGGGGGCAACCCUGAUCCAGCCAUGCCGCGUGAGUGAAGAAGGCCUUCGGGUUGUAAAGCUCUUUCGGCCGGGAAGAAAUCGCACGGGCUAAUACCCUGUGUGGAUGACGGUACCGGAAUAAGAAGCACCGGCUAACUACGUGCCAGCCGCCGCAGUAACAC